CUCCUGGCGGAGGAGCGCUGCCGUAGCCGCCGCGGGGCGCCGGGCUGCUCUGAGGCACCUGCCCGCCAGCGACAAAGAGGAGGCCGAGGCGGGCAUGGCCAAGGCCGUGACUCCGACGAUGGGUUUAAAUAACGCUCACGGGGUUGGAGAAUCGGUAAUUAAGCCAAGAUUAACCAGCGCUUGCUCAGAACGAGGAACGUAACGCCGUCUCCUCCCAGCGCGCGUGCACCGCAGCGCCUCUGCAAACCGGCCGCGACUCGAACCCCAAAAUAUUUUGCAACCGUAGUCGGAGCCGCCGCCUCCGCUGGCGCUGCCCGUGCUCCCACCCGCGGGGCCGCGGCUGCAGCUCAGAGCCUGGAGGGGUGAUGUAAACAAGCACCGCCGUCAGCGCAAGGUAAUCCAGCUGCCAGUCAAAGCAGCCGAACUGGUGUAACUGGGUGCUGUGAACUCUUUAGACCAACAACUGCCAACUGAGGGGUAAAGGUAAGAUUUCAGGACAAGGAAGCCCUAAACCGGGAGUAAUGUCUCUUGCAUGGAUCCAGAAGAGAUGAGCAUGACUACUUCUAUUUAAAACUUAAAAAUUCACAAGACUGGGGGUGGUGGUGUCACAUGUGCCAGAGGGAGAAGAAAGGCACUUUCACACUGGAAUUCUCAAUGGUUGGUGAAUUGCUAAUAAAAGUUAUCCCAAUUAGAGUAAAAGCCACAGACAAGUUGAAGAAUUCACAUGUGUCCUGCAUAUGGUGAGGCUUCACCUUCAGCACCAAACUAGAGAAGCAGCUGUGCAAAGAGCACCUACGCUUUAUUCCCAGAUUAACAGCUCACCUGAGGAAAGCGAUUGGUUAAUGUCUAAAGAAAGAUGUCUUUUUUCGGAGACUGCCUUGACUUCAAUUAUGGCUUCCGAAAAGGAAAACAAAACACAUUUUUUCAAUAAAAUCAUGAGCACUCCUCCCAAAGUGCAGAAUGGCAAGCAGUUCAUUGAGUUGUUGAGAAAGGAAUUCAGCAUACAAGAGUGACUGGUAACUCAGCCAUUUCUUCUAUCCUCCAGUGACAUUUACAAGCAGCUUGUUUUCAGCCAUGAAGUGGGUGUGCUUGCCAGUCAACAUAACCAGACUUUCAAAUCCAACUCAGGCUCCAAUUUGCCAGUCAGUAGCCUUGGAAGACGAAUUACCAGAUCCUUUGUCUACGAUUAGGCAAAACACACAAAGGAAAGAUUAUUACUGAAAGCUUUUUUGUGAAUCCAUCUGUGAAAGAAAGAGAUCUCAUAUAAACUUUUUUUUUCAGUUGGAAGAGGGAUGCUCUUUUACUUGCAUUGCAUUUUGUCUCUACCCCAAACAUGAGUUUGCAUGAAGCAGCAGUAUAUUAAGAUGCAAAAAGUUACUCAAAUUGUUCCUCUGGAAAACAAAAAAUAACAUAGCUGUUGUAAAACAGACAGGAAAAGGGAGUAAAAGCAUACCCCGAAAGCAGAAAGCAUGGUCAAGUGCCCAAUCUCUCUCAGUGCUCAUGUUGUUUCUUCCCACCUUUUUAAAAAAACAAACAAAACACUACCUGAUAGAAGCUAUAAAAGGAUUUUUCAGCUGCAGUGGAAUUUGUCUACCUCAGGAUCUGGUUACACCCUAGUAUGAUGGCAAUACAAGAAAUUACUCCACAUCCCCUAAGACAUGUGAUUACAAGUAAUCCACCGUGAGUACAAGGCAGUGACUAAACCCUUUUCCAGAGAGAUCUCCUACCUCAAACGUGGAAAGGCCAGCAACAGGCACUGUGACAGCUCUGACUGUUCAGCUAAUAGAAGCCAAUACAAGAACACCAGAUUCCACUUGGAACUUCACAUUUAUUGUAAUCCCCAGCUACUGCAGGAAACAACUAACACUGCCCACUUAAAGUCCAGCUACUACCUCUGAAGAUCCCAAAGCAUGGUGCUAAAUACCUGCUAAGCAUGUAAUGUGGUAAGCACUCACGAGUGAACCCAGGGGUUACUCUUGGUGAGCUGAGCAUAUGAUUUGGCAUUUAGUUUGAUGCGAUAUUUGCAGAUUAAGACUAUUUUUCACCUAUGAGUUAAGUAUGUUACAGUAUCUUGACGAGGUGAAGAGAGCCAAUUAAUUUUCUAGAAGUUAAAAAAGCUGCUUCCUGUUUCAGCAAUGGAUUCAGUCCUCUGACCCAUUUCAGAUAGUAAAACUGGACACACACAUGCUUGUUUGACAAUAACCUGCAGCAGAUCAUCUUCAAGAACUGUACUUCAGGACCUUUGAACGUUAGGUGUCCAUAUUACUUCUAUAGACAGUUAAAAUCAUGUUAUCCUCCUGUAACCCUCUAUGUAUUACCAUCAGUAAUGUCACUAAGUUUGUGGAUAACCUCCAAACACUUGAAGUAUUCAUGUUCCAAGGCCUUACAGCUGUCACUAGCAAAGUACCUAAAGACUUCAGUGUGUAGUCUUUACCUUUUUUACACUGAGACCAAGUUCAUUUUUGAAGAAACCCAGUCUGUUAUCCAGUCUUUCCACUGAAAACAACAGCAAAUAUGG